GACGAACGCUGGCGGCGUGCUUAACACAUGCAAGUCGAGCGGUAAGGCCCUUUCGGGUACACGAGCGGCGAACGGGUGAGUAACACGUGGGUGACCUGCCCUUAGCUCUGGGAUAAGCCUGGGAAACUGGGUCUAAUACCGGAUAUGACUCCAUGACGCAUGUUGUGGGGUGAAAGCCUUGUGCGGCUAGGGAUGGGCCCGCGGCCUAUCAGCUUGUUGGUGGGGUGAUGGCCACCAAGGCGACGACGGUAGCCGGCCUGAGAGGGCGACCGGCCACACUGGGACUGAGACACGGCCCAGACUCCUACGGGAGGCAGCAGUGGGGAAUCUUGCGCAAUGGGCGAAAGCCUG
rnacentral:rRNA from 1 species